UACGGAGGAUGCGAGCGUUAUCCGGAUUUAUUGGGUUUAAAGGGUGCGUAGGCGGCAGAUUAAGUUAGAGGUGAAAUUCCGAGGCUCAACCUUGGCACUGCCUCUGAUACUGGUUUGCUAGCGAGUAGAUGCUGUAGGCGGAAUGUGUGGUGUAGCGGUGAAAUGCAUAGAGAUCACGCAGAACUCCGAUUGCGAAGGCAGCAUACCGGCGCCCGACUGACGCUGAGGCACGAAAGCGUGGGGAGCAAACAGG
rnacentral:rRNA from 1 species